CCAAAAGCAAGGUGGGAUCCAACGUUACUCUAAUCAAUGUCAUGCAGCUGCCUGGACUCAACACGUUGGGGAUCUCGUUGGCUCGCAUUGACUACGCACCUGUUGGGGACUUGUUCUCAAAUGCUAUAAGUUAAGAACAAGGCAACACAGAGAAUGUUAAACGAUAAAGUCAUUCGUCCUUUGAGGCAUUAUUUCCCUAAGGAUAUAACGAUCUCCGGACGAAGGUCAUGAAGGACGAGCCUUCAUCAGCACAGUAUAUAUUAAUGAAAGACGAAGCAUAUGAAACAUAAAAGAUAGCAUGAAUAAUCAUAUAACAUCAUUCAUUUAACUUUAUUAUAUCAUCAUAGAGAAAUAGAGACAAUAUCGAAUUGUAAAUGUACCUUCGGUUUGGAAGGAGAUGAAAAUACAAGUGUGACGCAGAAGCAAAUGCCAAGUCAACGUGAACAGUACGGGGGUACUGUUCACCUAUUUAUAGGCACGAGGUACAACCCAUACAAAAUUACAUACAUGCCCUUUACAUUUGGUGAUAAUUCUAUAGCACUCUAUUGAGGUCUAAAUGGUCUUUUCAUCUUUAAGUCGGUUCCCUUCUCUGCGAACAUGCCGAAGCUUUCCUGCUUCACAGCUUCGGCGCUGUGUCAACCUUUGUAGCUUUUUGCUUUCUGAUACGAGUCCGAAGAUACCUGCUCACACAUUUUAAGCCGCUUCUCCCUUGAAGACCUUCGGCGACGAAGCAUAGACCCAACAGUAGCCCCUUUCGUGGUGCUAGAUCGUUUUUCGUAACAAGCUUGAUCCGUGAAAAAAGUCUCUUAAGCUUCGGGGAGCCGAAGGUCCAAAAAACACCUUCCCUGAGCUCGUUGCCGAGAAACGAUUUAAUUUCCCAGCACGCAGCGGUCCCACCUUGCAGAGUUUACUGUUUGUCCCUGCGGUCCACCGCGCAGCGAGCGCAAGCGGGUGCGCGCCUGGUGUAAAAACUCUGGCGCUUCGCCUUCUUACCUGCAGCACUAUAUAAACAGACGAGUAGGUGUGAAGUUACCACAGCAUUCAUUGCUAUUUGCACUGUUUUCCUGCCAAAAUUUUUAACCAUCGCCGAAGCUUGUCUGUUAGAAACGAACGAAGCUCCAGUUUGAAACCUGCUUCGGAGGAAGAAAAUUUUAAAGUUUCACAAGUUCAUAAUUGAAUGGCCAGAGUCCGUUCUACCGCCAGGGUUGAGCGCAAGGGGGAGGAAACUGAAGCUUCGGAGACUCUUCCCAUCUCCGAAGCCAUGCAACGAUCGGGUCUAGUGACUUCAGAAAAGAUCCCUCAUGAUGAUGCAAAACAAGCAGAACAAGCAAUCGCUGAAGCAGAGGAAGAAGAUAUUGAGGAAACUGAUUCCGAAGAUGAUUACCGCAUUGCCAUGCCAAGCAAGCCGAGCCACUUGGACUUCGGAAAAUCUACUGUGUCGAAGACUGAUCUAUCCAAGAUGGUAAAAUCGGGCUUUUUCACUGAAAAUCAGAAGAAGCUGUUGCGCUUCGGUGGAGAAGAGACUACCCCGAAGCCAGAGAAGGAUGAGAUUGUUAUUUUUAAAAGUUUUCUAAAGGCUGGAUUAAGGUUCCCCCUGCAUGGGAUUAUUGGAGAGGUACUGAAGAGAUUCGGUAUCUAUUUUCAUCAGCUGACCCCUAACGCUAUCGUUAGGCUUAUUGUUUAUAUCUGGGCACUCCGAAGCCAAGCAGUGGAACCAUUUGCAGACAGCUUCUGCCGGGUUCACGAGCUACAUUAUCAAACAAAGGCUAGAAAAGAUGGAUUACACGAUAAUUUUGGUUGCUAUAACUUUGCCUAUCGGAAAACUACAAAGUUCCCUGUAAUUAGCUACCGAAGCAAGUGGGCAGCAGGCUGGAAAUCAGAGUGGUUCUAUGUCAAGGUUGAUGACGACAAGGAAAAGCUUGUACAAAGCUCGCUGGAAUUAAUCUUCGGAGAAACCCGACCUCGCUGCAAUAUGACACCCGAAGGUCCAACACAACAAGCAAUGAGUGAAUUCAGAAUUAUUGCAGAGCAUAUCAGCACAAGGGACCUGGUUCAAGAGUUUUUAGCAUUCAAAGUUUUUCCCAGUUUGAGAGAAUGGGAAAUGCCGAAGCUACAGGGGGAAAAGAAAGAAGGUGAACUCGUACGUUUACCUUACUAUUUCAAGUUUAAAAAGUACUUUAAAGCACCUUGCCAAGAGUGGCUAGAUACGAUUGAAGCAAUGUGUAAUGAAAUACUUGGCAAUUAUUCCAAAAAAGAAGAUCAAUUGAUGACCGCAGCCUUCGGCACUCGUCCGAAACGAAGGCUAAAUCGAGUGUCGGACGCCUUGGGUUUCGAAUACCCAGACUACGAAAAUCUGAACAGAGGUGCCAGAGGCCAAAAAAGGAAAAGGGUAACUGAAACCUUAGAUGAAGGCGAAAAAGAGCCAGUAACGAAGAAAAUUCCGAAGAAAAGGAAAGCUUCUUCUCCGAAGCAACAAAUAUCCGAAGCAGAAGAAACUCCCGCAUCACCUUCUGCUGCUGUUGUUGAGGAAAUUCUGAAGGUAAUGACUGAAUCCUUACCUGCGAAGCUAAGUCCACUGGGUCCUCAACUGACAAAGUUUUUUCAGAAGGACAAGGAGCCCGAGAAAUCGAAGAAAACAAUCAAGGCAAGGAAACAAAGAAUCAUUACCGUGACAGAGGUAAUUGACAAAACGCCGCCAAGAGCUUCGGCCCAAAAAACACGAGCAACUUUAGAGGGGGCAGAUAUUGAAAUUGCACCUUCGGAGGCCGCAGCCGCCGAAGUUACCUCAGCUGAAGAUUUGAAUUUAGAGAGCACAAUUGAACAUAUUGACCAAAUGCUGCUAGACAUGGCUGCAGAAGAAGCUGCCACUGCUGCCGAAGAGACUGUGACCGCAGCGUCACAGAAAGGAAAAGAAAUUGCUGAUGAAGCUUCAGAGAACGAAGCCUUCGCGUUCCAAAACUUAGUUGGAGAACAUCUAACAAAAGCUGAAAUAGAAGAGCUUAAAGAGUAUGCCCAAUCCUGUGGAUACAAACCUGGGGCACUCCUCUUCGGAGGCGUUGAUGACGAGAAAUUAGAGUGUAUUCGGGACCAAACAGGGGCCAAAGUUAUCAGUACUCUGUCCAAGAGUAUUGGAUUCCCGAAGCUAGAAGCAGACAUCAGCCGCUACCGACGACAACAUGUCGUUGGUAGUUUAUUUUACUCCAACUUCAAGGUGAAUGACUUAUCCCUUAACCUUUAUUGCUUCUAAUAAAAACACGUCUGACGAAGGUUGUGUUUGUGUAGAGUAUGUUAUUGAGCAAAGCCGUGCAAAUGCAGCAAGAUCUUGAAGAUAAAAAGCAUGAAAUUAUAAUCGGAAAUUUGGAAAACAAAAUAAAGGAGCAAUCAGAUGCUUUUGAGAAAAAGAAUUUUGAGCUCCAGGCAGCCGAAGGCUUACUGGCGGAAGCUGAAGCAAAAAUAUCAGAACUGAACUCGAAGCUUCUCCGCCAGUCUGAGCAGUUCGAACGAGAAAAACAAGAUCUCAAUGCAAAACUUGAUGCCGAAGCUCAGCAAAAUUCGGAUUUGAGAAAACUACUGACAAAUCUUCAAGAAAAAUGCCUGGAAUUUAGCAACAAGUGCAUUCAACGAUUAAGAAAGAUUUUUUACUCGGUUGGAGCUAGCAGCGAAAAAUUUACCCCCUCAGCUGAAGAUCUACCAAAAACCUUCGAACACAUUGAGGGGGAAAUUGACGAGCUCGACGAAGUCAUAGCUGGGCAUGGUGACUUCUGUGCCUGGGUGGCUUCUCGAGGGACUGCUGCAGCCUUCAUGAAGGCUGGCUGUGAUCAUGGGAAAAUUGUCAAUAGGCCAAAUUUUACUUUGUCACCAUCAAUCCUGGAUGACAUCCUGAUCUCGCCCGAAGCAUCUCGAAUCGAUUUGUAAAAAUGAUAUGGACAAAAGGUGGUCGAGAGAAAGCGGGAGACGAAGCUCGUAGCCACCUUGAUCCAGUAAGAAAUCAUACCUUGUGCUUACCUUUUCCUGUAAACUUGAUUCUGACUUCCAACGACCUUAUUCAUGUAGGAUGACGAAGCCGAAGCUGAUGAUCAAAAAUAACGCCGAAGCCGAAGCUCCUUGGAGAUUUAGAUAGCAGACUGCAGACAGUACUUGAAAAACUUUUGAGAUAACUUUUGUAAAUGUAAACAAAAACUUGUUUUUAAUGUAUGCUGUUCAUACCUUGUAAUAUAUUCUUAACCUUUCACUGAUGUAUGAGAAAUGCUUUGGUGUGGACGAAAUUUCCUUUUUUGAGCCGAAGGCGAAAAAACACCUUCCCUUCUUUUCGUACGCAACGAAGCAUAGAAAACAACAUUUUCCUUUUUUCCGAAGCUCUUCUUCAUAGAAAACAACAUUUUCCUUUUCUCCGAAGCUCUCCUUCAUAGAAGUUUUUCCCUUUCUUUUUUCUCUUCUUGCCGAAGCAACCAUUUUAUGCGAUGAAGAUGAUUAUCCUACAUAUGCCUAGAUGAAUGUUUAUGAAUGCAAAUGCUAUGAUGUAAUGUGAUGUGCAAAUGAAUGGCCAAACACGUAUCCGAAGCCAUAUUCAUAGCCAUUAUUUUCUUAAAAACAAUCACACCUCAGCUCUGCAUUCCCUUAGGAACGACUUUGGAGCUUCUUCGCCUUUACUUUUGGCGGAAUCAGCGUUGACUUUUCGCUGUAAGCUCUGCAUUCCCUUAGGAACGUCUUUGGAGCUUCUUCGCCUUUACUUUUCGGUUGAUUUCGCUGUAACUCUGCAUUCCUUAGUCUUUGAGCUUCUUCGCCUUUACUUUUGGUGGAAUCAGCGUUGACUUUUCGCUGUAAGCUCUGCAUUCCCUUAGGAACGUCUUUGGAGCUUCUUUUUUUUCUUUUUGGCACUCGAUGGUGCAUUCUCAGCUUUUACAUUUACAUUCUUUGGGGGAUUUUGUUCUUAUAGAACUAAAAAAGAAAAUUACACGUGAUGGCCCCAUUAAAAACCUUUCUCCCCCUUCGGAAAGGAAAAGGGUGCCAUGAAAGAAGAACUAAAAAAUAAAAAAUAUGAAAAAUUACAUCGAAUUAAACAUAAUAUCGCCGAAGCUCAUCCGCAUUCCAAGAUCUAGGAAUGUCAUUGCCGUCCAUAUCUUUCAAUCUGUAUGAACCGGGUCUUGACGAAGAUGCUACUAAGAAAGGCCCGUCCCAUUUCAACUGCAAUUUGCCCACUGUUUCCGAGUUGGCCACCCUCCGAAGCACCAAGUGCCCUGGCCCAAUAUUUUUUAGCCGAACCUUUCUAUCCCGCCAUUUAACUGUUUCAGCUUGAUAUUUAUUGAUAUUCUCCACGGCUUGCAGUCUGAUCCCUUCUAAAGCAUCUUUUUCUAUAGAAUAAGCAGCUUCGGAGUCUGAUUCUGCCGAAGCUACUAUCCUUAUUGAUCCGGUUUUAGCUUCCUCUGGAGUUAUUGCUUCGUCACCGAAUAACAACUUGAAUGGAGUGAAGCCUGUAGACCUUGAUGUUGUCGUGUUGUGGCUCCACACCACUUUGAUUAACUGAUCUGGCCAUUUUCCUCUGGGUUGAUUGAAGAUUAACUUCAUUAUUCCUGUCAUUAUAAUGCCGUUGGCUCUUUCAACGAGUCCAUUUGACUCCGGGUGCCUAACUGAUGCAAAAUGGAUCUUCGUACCAAUUUGGUCACAGAAAUCCCUGAAAGCUUCGGAGUCAAACUGUGUCCCAUUGUCCACAGUGAUGGCCUUUGGCACCCCGAAACGACAAACAAUAUUCUGCCAGAAAAACUUUUGGACGGUGGCCGAAGUUAUUGUUGCUAAAGGCUUCGCCUCAAUCCAUUUAGAAAAAUAUUCCACAGCUACUACAACAUAUCUCAGGUUCCCUUGGGCCGGUGGUAACGGACCUAACAAGUCAAGGCCCCACCUUUGCAAUGGCCAAGUGGGUUGUAUGAGCUGUGUUAAGGACGAAGGUUGUUUUUGAUCUCUUGCACAUUUCUGACAACCUUCGCACUUUUGAACCAAUUCUGCUGCAUCCGAAGCUGCCUUCGGCCAAUAAAACCCUUGACGGAAAAUUUUUCCGAGUAACGGCCUAGAUCCGAUGUGAGAUCCACACAGGCCUGCAUGUAUUUCUUUCAUUAACUCUAUACCUUCGGUUCUGGAUAAGCAUUUGAGCAGCGGAGCACAAACUCCAUGUUUGUACAACUCCCCUUCUAUCAUGACAUAUGGACGAGCUCUUGCUUCUAUCCUCUUGUUAUAAGCUUCGUCAUCUGAAAGAAAUUUACCCUGAAGGUAAGAGAUGAUCUCGGUUCUCCAAUCUUCGCUAAAAACAGGAGAUAUAUUAAGAACUGCUCUUUCAAGAAGUUCCACCGAAGGUGCUUUUAUUGUUUCGAAGAACACAUCCGAAGGUAAAGGCAGCCCCUGUGCUGCUGACUUGGCUAGCAGAUCAGCAUGCUCAUUUUGUCCUCGAGGAAUAUUCUUGACAGAAAACCCUUCGAAGGAAGCUUCGACUCUUCGAACCAUAUCCAGAUAUUUUUCAAGCUUCGGAUCCUUAGCCUUACAACUUUUGUCAAUAUGACCCGAAACAACCUGGGAAUCAGUUUUAAGUAUGGCCCUUCUGACUCCCAUUGCUUUUAACUUCCGAAGACCUAGAACCAAUGCUUCGUACUCAGCAAUGUUAUUUGUGCAAUUAAAAUCAAGUUUUGCCGCAUAACAAAUUUUGACUUUGGAAGGUGAAACCAACACAGCAGCCGCUCCUGCUCCGAAGGUUCCCCAAGAUCCAUCACAAAACACUGUCCAGGCUUCGUUGUCUUUAUUCGUUUCCUCCUCCUGAGCCCCUGGCGUCCAAUCAGCAAUAAAGUCUGCCAGCGCCUGUGACUGAAUCGAAGAUCUAUGAACAUAUUCAAUACAAAAUUCAUUGAGCUCUGUAGCCCAUUUUCCAAUCCUUCCAGUAGCUUCUCGAUUCCUCAUAAUAUCCUUCAGAGGUUGCGAUGAAGGAACAAUUAUGUUGUAAGCUUGGAAAUAGUGUCGAAGCUUCCUGGAGGCCAUCAAGACAGCAUACAAUACCUUCUCCAGUUCUGUAUAAUUUUUCUUUGACAAACUAAGAACCUCGGAUACAAAAUAUAUUGGGGCCUGCCUCUUGACUUGACCAUCAAGCUUUUCCUGGACAAGCGCUGCACUUACCGCUGAGUGCGAAGCUGCCACAUAUAAUAACAAAGGAGCCCCUGGCAUUGGUGGAGUCAAUGUUGUUAGAUUUAUUAAAUACUGUUUUAGCUCUUCAAAGGCCUUCUGUUGGAUUGGUCCCCAUUGAAAGACUUCGGCUGACUUCAGCACUUCGAAGAAUGGUAAGUUUCUCUCUGCUGAUCUGGAUAUGAAUCUAUUGAGAGAUGCCAAUCUUCCUGUCAAUCUUUGAGCCCCCUUCUUUGUAGUUGGUGGCUCCAUCCGAAGUAUAGCUUCAAUUUUACUUGGAUUAGCUUCAAUCCCCUUUGUUGAAACCAAGCAUCCAAGAAAUUUCACCUUCUUCACUCCGAAGACGCAUUUUUCUGGAUUUAACUUCAAGCCAGCUUGCCUGAAACUGGCGAAGGUCUCCUGCAGAUCAGCAAUAUGAUUCUCCUGCUUCGUGCUUUUGACAAUGAUGUCAUCAACAUAAGUUAGCACGUUUCUGCCUAUUUGAGAUUGGAGAACCUUCGCAGUCAUUCGGCUGAAACUUCCUCCAGCGUUUUUGAGCCCCUCAGGCAUCCGAAGAUAGCAAUAUGUGCCACUUGGAGUUAUGAAGCUAGUCUUCGGCUCAUCUUCCUUCUUCAUCCAAAUUUGGUGAUAGCCUGAAUAACAGUCUAACAGACUCAUGAGCUCUGAAGAAGCUGCUGCAUCAACUAAAGAAUCUAUCCUUGGUAGUGGGAAUUCAUCCUUCGGGCAAGCUUUGUUAAGAUCUGUAAAAUCGAUGCACAUUCGCCACUUGCCAUUGGCCUUUUUUACCAUAACAGUGUUAGCUAGCCAUUCUGGGUACUUCACUUCUCUGAUAACUCCUGCACUAAGGAGUCUUUUGACUUCGUUGCGAGCGCCUUCGGCCUUAUCAUCUGACAUUUUCCGAAGCCUUUGCUUUCUGGGUCUGAAGGAUGGAUCGACAUUGAGUGAGUGCUCGAUAACAUCUCUAUUAACUCCGCAAAGAUCAUUGGCUGACCAUGCAAAAACAUCCUUGUUAUUGAACAAAAACCUUAUCAAGGUUUUCUCCUGCUCUUCGGAUAACUGAGAUCCUAACAGCACCUUCUGCUCUGCUAUGUCCUCACAUAAGAGCAUAGGCUUCGGCUGGUCUGCUGAAGCUGCUUUCUCCCUUCUGAAUUUGUACUGUUCACAAGCUUCAGCUCCAUCGAUGUUAUGGAUUGCUUUUGAGUCAGUCCAAUUACCUUCGGCCCUUCUUGCAGCUUCCUGACUUCCAUGGAUAGCGAUGGGUCCCUGAUCCGAAGGUAUCUUCAUGCAAAGAUAGGCAGGAUGAAGGAUUGCUUCGAAGGCAUUGAGAGUACCACGACCAAUAAUUGCAUUGUAAGGGUAUUCCAUGUCGACAAUGUCAAACACAACUUGCUCAGUUCUAGUGUUGUUGAUGAACCCGAAGGUCACUGACAUGGUGAUCUUGCCCAAUGCUACAAUCUGUCUUCCUCCGAAGCCACAGAGAGGAUGUGUAGCAUCAUGAAUCUUAUCUUCUGGCUCUUGCAUUUGUCUGAAGGCCUUAGCAAAUAUGAUGUCAGCUGCACUGCCUGUGUCAACCAAGACAUUGUGGACCAGAAAUCCUUUGAUAACACAAGAGAUAACCAUGGCAUCGUUGUGUGGGUAAUCUUUGAGCUAAAGGUCCUCUUGGGAGAAGGUAAUAGGAAUGUGAGACCAUCUUGACUUGAUGAAGGGUCCUUGCACCCCAACAUGCUGUACCCUUCUCUGUGCUUCCUUCUUCUGUUUCUUGUUAGCUGGCUCUGAGGACGAGCCACCUGUGAUCGGGAGUACCAGCUUCGGAUCCGAAGCAGCUCCAGCUUGGUCGUUGAACGAAGCCAUCAGCUCAAAAAGUGGAAGUGAGUUCACCGGAGGUGGGCGCCAAUGUUGGGGACUUGUUCUCAAAUGCUAUAAGUUAAGAACAAGGCAACACAGAGAAUGUUAAACGAUAAAGUCCUUCGUCCUUUGAGGCAUUAUUUCCCUUAGGAUAUAACGAUCUCCGGACGAAGGUCAUGAAGGACGAGCCUUCAUCAGCACAGUAUAUAUUAAUGAAAGACGAAGCAUAUGAAACAUAAAAGAUAGCAUGAAUAAUCAUAUAACAUCAUUCAUUUAACUUUAUUAUAUCAUCAUAGAGAAAUAGAGACAAUAUCGAAUUGUAAAUGUACCUUCGGUUUGGAAGGAGAUGAAAAUACAAGUGUGACGCAAAAUCAAAUGCCAAGUCAACGUGAACAGUACGGGGGUACUGUUCACCUAUUUAUAGGCACGAGGUACAAUCCAUACAAAAUUACAUACAUGCCCUUUACAUUUGGUGAUAAUUCUAUAGCACUCUAUUGAGGUCUAAAUGGUCUUUUCAUCUUUAAGUCGGUUCCCUUCUCUGCGAACAUGCCGAAGCUUUCCUGCUUCACAGCUUCGGCGCUGUGUCAACCUUUGUAGCUUUUUGCUUUCUGAUACGAGUCCGAAGAUACCUGCUCACACAUUUUAAGCCGCUUCUCCCUUGAAGACCUUCGGCGACGAAGCAUAGACCCAACAGCACCAUUAGGUCAGAAUCCUCCACACACACACCCACGUGCCACUGAGAUCCUCACUGUGCUUGAGGGGACACUCUACGUCGGAUUUGUCACCUCCAACCAAGCUGAUAGAAGCAACAGGCUAUUUGCCAAGGUUCUCAACAAGGGCGAUGUGUUUGUAUUCCCCCAAGGACUAAUCCACUUCCAGUUCAACCCAGUACAUGACAAGCCAGCAGUCGCGCUCGCUGCUCUAAGUAGCCAGAACCCUGGAGCUAUUACUAUUGCCAAUGCAGUCUUUGGAUCAAAGCCAC
rnacentral:lncRNA from 1 species